rnacentral:rRNA from 1 species
GACGAACGCUGGCGGCGCGCCUAACACAUGCAAGUCGAACGGAGUUGUGUUGAAAGCUUGCUGGAUAUACAACUUAGUGGCGGACGGGUGAGUAACACGUGAGUAACCUGCCUCUCAGAGUGGAAUAACGUUUGGAAACGACUGCUAAUACCGCAUAAGCCCACAGGUCGGCAUCGACCAGAGGGAAAAGGAGCAAUCCGCUUUGAGAUGGCCUCGCGUCCGAUUAGCUAGUUGGUGAGGUAACGGCCCACCAAGGCAACGAUCGGUAGCCGGACUGAGAGGUUGAACGGCCACAUUGGGACUGCGACACGGCCCAG